UACGGAGGGUGCAAGCGUUAUCCGGAUUCACUGGGUUUAAAGGGAGCGUAGGAGGGCAGGUAAGUCAGUGGUGAAAUCUUCGAGCUUAACUCGGAAACUGCCGUUGAUACUAUCUGUCUUGAAUACCGUGGAGAUGAGCGGAAUAUGUCAUGUAGCGGUGAAAUGCUUAGAUAUGACAUAGAACACCAAUUGCGAAGGCAGCUUACUACACAAAUAUUGACGCUGAGGCACGAAAAGCGUGGGGAUCAAACAGG
rnacentral:rRNA from 1 species